rnacentral:rRNA from 1 species
AUACGUAGGGGGCGAGCGUUGUCCGGAAUGAUUGGGCGUAAAGGGCGCGUAGGCGGCGCGGUAAGUCUGGAGUGAAAGUCCUGCUUUCAAGGUGGGAAUUGCUUUGGAUACUGCCGCGCUUGAGUGCAGGAGAGGUUAUCGGAAUUCCCGGUGUAGCGGUGAAAUGCGUAGAGAUCGGGAGAAACACCAGUGGCGAAGGCGGGUAACUGGACUGCAACUGACGCUGAGGCGCGAAAGUGUGGGGAGCAAACAGGAUUAGAUACCCUGGUAGUCCACACUGUAAACGAUGAAUGCUAGGUGUAAGGGGUAUCAACUCCCUCUGUGCCGCAGCAAACGCAAUAAGUAUUCCGCCUGGGGAGUACGGCCGCAAGGUUGAAACUCAAAGGAAUUGACGGGG